CAUAUUUAUAAAAUGUGUGACCGCUUGAGCUGCUGAAGAUCUUAUUUGAGCGUCGACACUGAGACACUGCAGCACGGAUUGCAGAAGUCACUAUGUUGAGGUCUUUCAGAGCAUCUCUUCCUCUGAUCUUAGUGGUCAUGACUGCGGGGUCUGAUGGUCAGCAGGGUUGGGGAGUGAAUUACAGCCCUUCAUAUGUUUGUGCAUUAAAGGGAUCAACAGUGGAAAUAUCCUGUACUGUAAAAUAUCCUCAUGAUCAUCAGCUCAGAUCAGUCUACUGGACCAAACAUGCUGUAACUGAUGGAGAACCACCAGACCUGUGUUCAGACCCUGAUAAAACAGAAAGAGUUCAGUGUGUCAGUGAAGAUAAAGACACUUCCAGCAUCACUUUGACUGCAGUAACAGAAGCUGAUAAACACAUCUACUACUGCAGAUU